UACGGAGGGUGCAAGCGUUGUUCGGAAUUACUGGGCGUAAAGCGCGUGCAGGCGGUUCGGUAAGUCAGAUGUGAAAGCCCUGGGCUCAACCCAGGAAGUGCAUUUGAUACUGCCGUGCUAGAGUAUGGGAGAGGAGAGUGGAAUUCCCAGUGUAGAGGUGAAAUUCGUAGAUAUUGGGAGGAACACCCGUGGCGAAGGCGACUCUCUGGACCAAUACUGACGCUGAGACGCGAAAGCGUGGGGAGCAAACAGG
rnacentral:rRNA from 1 species